rnacentral:rRNA from 1 species
UACGGAGGGUGCAAGCGUUAUCCGGAUUUACUGGGUUUAAAGGGAGCGUAGGUGGGUUGGUAAGUCAGUGGUGAAAUCUCCGAGCUUAACUUGGAAACUGCCAUUGAUACUAUCGAUCUUGAAUACUGUGGAGGUUAGCGGAAUAUGUCAUGUAGCGGUGAAAUGCAUAGAUAUGACAUAGAACACCAAUUGCGAAGGCAGCUGGCUACACAAGCAUUGACACUGAGGCUCGAAAGCGUGGGGAUCAAACAGG